rnacentral:rRNA from 1 species
UACGAAGGGUGCAAGCGUUAAUCGGAAUUACUGGGCGUAAAGCGUGCGUAGGUGGUUUCUUAAGUCUGCUGUGAAAGCCCUGGGCUCAACCUGGGAAUGGCGGUGGAUACUGAGGAGCUAGAGUGCGGUAGAGGAGGGUGGAAUUCCCGGUGUAGCGGUGGAAUGCGUAGAGAUCGGGAGGAACAUCAGUGGCGAAGGCGGCCCUCUGGACCAGCACUGACGCUGAGGCACGAAAGCGUGGGGAGCAAACAGG